GAUGAACGCUGGCGGCGUGCCUAAUACAUGCAAGUCGAGCGAAUGGAUUAAGAGCUUGCUCUUAUGAAGUUAGCGGCGGACGGGUGAGUAACACGUGGGUAACCUGCCCAUAAGACUGGGAUAACUCCGGGAAACCGGGGCUAAUACCGGAUAACAUUUUGAACCGCAUGGUUCGAAAUUGAAAGGCGGCUUCGGCUGUCACUUAUGGAUGGACCCGCGUCGCAUUAGCUAGUUGGUGAGGUAACGGCUCACCAAGGCAAAGAUGCGUAGCCCACCUGGGUGGGUGAUAGGCCAGACUGGGACUGAGACACAGCGCAGACGACUACGGGAGGCAGCAGUAGGGAAUCGUCCGCAAUGGACGAAAGUCUGACGGAGCAACGCCGCGUGAGUGAUGAAGGCGUUCGGGUCGUAAAACUCUGUUGUUAGGGAAGAACAAGUGCUAGUUGAAUAAGCUGGCACCUUGACGGUACCUAACCAGAAAGCCACGGCUAACUACGUGCCAGCCGCCGCAGUAA
rnacentral:rRNA from 1 species